UACGUAGGGUGCAAGCGCUGUCCGGAAUUAUUGGGCGUAAAGAGCUCGUAGGCGGCUUGUUGCGUCGGCUGUGAAAACCCGUGGCUUAACUGCGGGCUUGCAGCUGAUACGGGCGGGCUAGAGUUCGGUAGGGGAGACUGGAAUUCCCGGUGUAGCGGUGAAAUGCGCAGAUAUCAGGAGGAACACCGGUGGCGAAGGCGGGUCUCUGGGCCGAUACUGACGCUGAGGAGCGAAAGCGUGGGGAGCGAACAGG
rnacentral:rRNA from 1 species